UCGGGACAAUAAGAGGUCGGCUUCAACCAGCUCAGCAUCAGGUGUUUGGGUUUCGGUUGGGGGGUCAAUUGUUGAAGUUGGAGGGACGCGGAGUUCUUCAGCGGUAAGGGGAAUUAUUUUUGAUCUUAAUUUUUUGGCACGAAGGACUUUCGCCCGAUCGUGUAGAGGUAUGUCAAGUAGACUCCUCUUUAUUGGAGCUGAUUCAGAAGGUGUGGGGACAGAGCCAG
rnacentral:lncRNA from 1 species